GUGUUGUAUUUGUUUGCAAGUCUAUAAUCUGCCACAAUUGUAAAAAUUUUUUUGAUGGAUAGGAGUGUUUUUUUUUUUUUUUUUUUGAAGAGCAACUUGAGGCACAAGACGAUGCCAUGUCAAGUGAUGAGGAGGAUGCAGACGAAGAGAGCUGCAGUGACUUCCCUCAGACAACAGCACUAGCGGACACUGAUCAACAAUCUGUUUCACUGAAAGAUCAAGGUUCAUCAAUCCCUUCAAAAAGAAAAUGGGAGGACUCUGAGGUAAAAGCAGUUGAAAAACAUAUGAUGAAGUUCAUAAAGACCUGCAAAGUUCCUGGUAAGCAAGACUGUGAGAGAUGCAUUGAAGCAGAGUCAGAAGCCUUAAAGGAACGAACAUGGACUGGUGUGAAAAAUUAUGUGCGGAACAGGAUCACAACUUUAAAAAAAAGAGGUGG
ensembl:lncRNA